AUACAACGAAAUUUUAAAUUAUUGAUAGGAUCGACCAACGUUUUAAAUGCAAUGUAAUAUACAAAAUUUAUUGUAACGAUUGUAAUAAACAACACAUUGGGCAGACCAAACAGAAGCUGAAAGAACGUACAGUCACAUAACACUUAAAUACAGGCCCUGAGUAUGUCUUCAAAUAAAUCGAAAGCAUGGCCGAACUGUAUUUUAAUUAUGAAACACCCCCAACCUUGACCUCCAUCAGUACAUCACUUUGCAGGACUCCAGAGUAAAAUGGGGUAAGCGUUGGAGCAUGACUUUUGAUGUUUUUAUCAUUGUUCAAAGUAACUUGACAGCAGAGUCUUUCUUCAGCAAAACUUCUUACAAGAGGACGGCCAGGUUGGUGGG